CAGUAGCCGCGGGAAUACGAAGGGGGCUAGCGUUGUUCGGAAUUACUGGGCGUAAAGGGCGCGUAGGCGGCCAUUCAAGUUAGAUGUGAAAGCCCUGGGCUCAACCUAGGAAUUGCAUUUGAUACUGUUUGGCUUGAGUUCGGGAGAGGUGAGUGGAAUUCCCAGUGUAGAGGUGAAAUUCGUAGAUAUUGGGAAGAACACCGGUGGCGAAGGCGGCGACCUGGUCCUUUACUGACACUGAGGCGCGAAAGCGUGGGGAGCAAACAGGAUUAGAUACCCCCGUAGUCCCUGUCUCUUAUAC
rnacentral:rRNA from 1 species